UUGACCUCGGAUCAGUAGGGAUACCCGCUGAACU
rnacentral:rRNA from 1 species